rnacentral:rRNA from 1 species
UAGGGAAUCUUCCACAAUGGGCGAAAGCCUGAUGGAGCAACGCCGCGUGUGUGAUGAAGGGUUUCGGCUCGUAAAACACUGUUGUAAGAGAAGAAUGACAUUGAGAGUAACUGUUCAAUGUGUGACGGUAUCUUACCAGAAAGGAACGGCUAAAUACGUGCCAGG